rnacentral:rRNA from 1 species
GUCCAGACUCCUACGGGAGGCAGCAGUGGGGAAUAUUGCACAAUGGGGGAAACCCUGAUGCAGCGACGCCGCGUGAGUGAAGAAGUAUCUCGGUACGUAAAGCUCUAUCAGCAGGGAAGAAAAUGACGGUACCUGACUAAGAAGCCCCGGCUAACUACGUGCCAGCAGCCGCGGUAAUACGUAGGGGGCAAGCGUUAUCCGGAUUUACUGGGUGUAAAGGGAGCGUAGACGGCAGCACAAGUCUGGAGUGAAAUGCCGGGGCCCAACCCCGGAACUGCUCUGGAAACUGUGAAGCUGGAGUGCAGGAGAGGUAAGCGGAAUUCCUGGUGUAGCGGUGAAAUGCGUAGAUAUCAGGAGGAACACCGGCGGCGAAGGCGGCUUACUGGACUGUAACUGACGUUGAGGCUCGAAGGCGUGGGGAGCAAACAGGAUUAGAUACCCCAGUAAA